rnacentral:rRNA from 1 species
AGUGAGCGCUGGCGGUAGGCCUAACACAUGCAAGUCGAACGGCAGCACAGUAAGAGCUUGCUCUUACGGGUGGCGAGUGGCGGACGGGUGAGGAAUACAUCGGAAUCUACUUUUUCGUGGGGGAUAACGUAGGGAAACUUACGCUAAUACCGCAUACGACCUACGGGUGAAAGCAGGGGAUCUUCGGACCUUGCGCGAUUGAAUGAGCCGAUGUCGGAUUAGCUAGUUGGCGGGGUAAAGGCCCACCAAGGCGACGAUCCGUAGCUGGUCUGAGAGGAUGAUCAGCCACACUGGAACUGAGACACGGUCCAGACUCCUACGGGAGGCAGAAGUGGGGAAUAUUGGACAAUGGGCGCAAGCCUGAUCCAGCCAUACCGCGUGGGUGAAGAAGGCCUUCGGGUUGUAAAGCCCUUUUGUUGGGAAAGAAAAGCAGCAGGUUAAUACCCCGCUGUUCUGACGGUACCCAAAGAAUAAGCACCGGCUAACUUCGUG